rnacentral:rRNA from 1 species
CGCAUCUGUGCAUGCAGCAUAUCAAUAAGCGGAGGAAAAGAAACUAACAAGGAUUCCCCUAGUAACGGCGAGUGAAGCGGGAAGAGCUCAAAUUUGAAAUCUUAAAGGGUUUCCCUUUACGAAUUGUAGUUUAAAGAAGUGUUUUCUGUUGAGGUUUUGGUAAAAGUUCUUUGGAAUAGGACAUCAUAGAGGGUGAGAAUCCCGUAUUUGACCUUUACUUUCAACUUUGUGAUACACUUUCAAAGAGUCGGAUUGUUUGGGAAUGCAGUCCAAAAUGGGAUGGUAAAUUUCAUCUAAAGCUAAAUAUUGGCGAGAGACCGAUAGCGAACAAGUACCGUGAGGGAAAGAUGAAAAGAACUUUGAAAAGAGAGUUAAACAGUACGUGAAAUUGUCAAAAGGGAAGCGUUUGACACCAGUGUUGUUUUUCUGAAAAUCAAUUAAAGAACUGUUUAUGCUAAGUUGUUUAGACUUUAUCAGCUAACUGUUUAGUUUUGAGCUUUUCUUUAAUGCACUUUUCAGUUAACAAGUCAACAUCAAUUUCUUUUGCUGUAAAAAAGCUUGAGGAAUGGUGGCUUGAGAUUCGUCUUAAGUGUUUAUAGCCUCUUGCCUAUGCAGUCGGAGAGAUUGAGGUCUGCAGCGUAGAUCCUUCGGGGCUAAAUGCAUUUGUGCUAAGUUAUAACAUUUUAUAGACAACUUGUUGACUAUGAUUUGUCUUGUAGCUUACUCGCUUAUGUUAUUUUACCUACGCUUAGGAUGUUGACAGCAGUAUAGACUGU